rnacentral:lncRNA from 1 species
ACAAGAAAACCACAGCAGGGACAGCAGCUGGCAUUGUUCGCUGCAAGGCACGUACAGUGUAUUCUGCGAUAACUUCUGGUGCAACUUUAGGGGAUUCAGAUCCAGGAGUGACCAUGUUGGGCUUCAACAAUGUACCCUCGAGGAGGACAUGGUGGUCAUUGAGAGCCUUGUAGCAAGCAGCAAGAACACGCUCGGUGACAUCAGCACAUUUGUUAAUGUCGUGGCCUCCAUCAACAAGGAUCUCAGGUUCAACAAUGGGGACAAGACCAUUCUGCUGGCAGAUGAUGGCAUAUCUUGCAAGGCCAUUGGCAUUGUCAUUGAUAGCAAGCUGAGAAGGCUCGUUGGCACCAAUCUUGAGCACUGCACGCCAUUUUGCAAACCUAGCACCAGCAGCAUAGUACUUUUGGCAGCGCUCAGCAAGGCCAUCCAAACCCUGAGUAGUCGUCUCACCAUCGGUUCCAGGAAGCUCUACGGUACCCUUGUCGACUUUAAUCCCAGGGAGAACUCCACCCUCCUUCAAGACAUCAACAAAAGGCUUGCCUGCAGAUAUGAGUAAAAACUGUCAGAAUAUCAUACAUAAAGCACCCCAAGUGCAAUUAUCAGGUAAGCUGAAUAUCAUUAAUCCAUUCUUCGCACACGAAAAUACAUAUUACAAUCCAUAUGAACAUACCGGAUGCAGUCUUCUGAUAGAGGGUUUCCUCAAACAAGAUAACUCCACUAAGGUACUGAAGAGCACCAGGUGUGAGGAAGAGCAGCUCCCGGAGAGCCCUCCGGUUUUCCUCAACAUUCUCAACAUUAAUACUAGAUAGACGCUUGCCAAUUGUGCCAGUAGACUCGUCAGCAGCAAGGAUACCCUUACCAGGGGUGGCUAUGUAUGCAGCAUUUGCGAUGAGCUCAUCUGCAUCAAUUCCAACAUGCGUUGUAUGUUAGUAACAAGUAACAAAACAAGGUAACUGAAGUUCAUAGAAAUUACAGGAUCAACGGUAAAAGGUGACACUAACAGACAAGUUAACAAAUAUAACACCAAUUAGCAGGACACGACAUUCAGAAUUUAAACAUUCAAUAGUUCCAAGCAAGCAAUUUAGAUAAUAACAUAGAGCGAACAAAUCUAAGCAGAAGGGAAGCACAGAUAUGUGAAAGCUGUGUGAGCUGCAGACAAAUCGAAUAGCAGAGAUCAAAGAAUGGAGGGAAAACACAAAAUGAAACCUAAUCCGCUUGUUGCUGUACACCAUUCAAUGCUCAAAUGUUAUGUCUUUCUUUAAAAUGUAGUCCGGAUAAGGAGCAUAGACAGCCAUAUCAAGACCCUUAAGUUUGAUUUCACAGUUGCCCGUAUUUUUUCGACAAGUCUUAAGAGCUAAAAACUUUCUACAUCAAAAUGAAACUAAUUUUGUUUUGCUUACAGUAUUAAAUUGUACACAAUAGACAAAGAAUGAAUCAACAAAAGAAUUUUUAGAAAAGGAGAAAACCACAUCGAAUCUUUAGUGAGAAUAUGCAUUUGAAGAAAUAGUCAAAAUCUUCAGAACAACAUAACGAAAGAGUUUUAAAACUAGCAUAAUCAUUUGAUCAGAACAUUAACAAUUAUUAGCUAUUUGGCAAAUACAGAACACUUCCAUAUUAACAAGUAAAAGUUGAGACAGAUAAUACUCAUGCUGUCUCAUCUUAUACCAAAUUAGGGCGAAGUUUGCCCAUUAAUCAUAAAAACGUUUUCAACACAUGGAAAUUUUGAUUUAUAAAAAUUAAGAAAUAAACGUCCUAAUGCAUGCAGAAAUUUAAAUUAAUCAUUCUAGUUGAAACAACGGAGUAGUGAAAAUAGUAUCAACACUCUCACACGAGAGAUCCAGCAUUUAACUUUGCUAAUGAAGAGCUAGGCAACUAGAUCAAAGUUCAAAAGAACAUAACAAACCAAACGUAAAAAAGAGCACAACUUUUAACAGCAAGCCCUAAGAUCUGAACAAGAUAUCUAAACAUCAUAGAAAAAUUAGACCGAUCCAGAUCAAAAAUAAAUUAAAGAUCUAUCAACAGACACAGAUUUUGGAUCAAACAAAGCAAGAUUCAAAUUACGAUCAGACAACCAGAAGUUAAAAUUAUUAAGAAAGAGAGAAGAGCAAAAAAUUUACCGGCGUAUUUUCCCUUGUAACAAGACAUGGUUAUUUGCUUGGGCGAAGAGUGAAGAAAAGAGAUGAGAAGUUUGGUAGACAGAGAUAGAUGGGCAGAGUGGGGGGAAAUUAGGUUUCAUAAAUAGUGAGAACAUCGAUGUUAUCGCUAAAUUGCGACCCCUUCUGCACGAAACUGGCGGC